UGCUGCUGGGCCUCCCUGGGUGCCUUGUGGCCGCACUACAUCACCUCCAUAAAGCAAGGAGCACAACUAAGCCCAAACCUUACUAGGCACAGCACUCCACUGCCCAGCAAGGAGCCGCCACGGCCCCACGAGCUUCAGGAGCCAUCAGCACUGCUGGGUGUCAGUGCAGGAGAGCAGGGGCCGGGGCAGGCUGAAGGCGACGGCUGCUGCUGAAUACCAGUGUGGAUGAAGCAAUCUUCCCAGUUACUGGCAAAGGGGGAAGCUGCAAGAAUUAUUUUUGUAAUAAAGAUUGAUUUAGAGAACCCAAA